GAUCAACUCAAAGUCACUCCAGGUAAGCGGAGUUGCUCCUUCCUCUGUGCUCCCAUAGCACAUUAUCUAUCAAUCAGCAGUUCUCACACUGCUUUGCAGGCACUUGCUUUUAUUUCUAUCCCCUCCUCUAGAAAAUGUGUUUCUCUAAGGCAGGGUAUAUGUCUUCUUCAUCCCUCACACUGCCUAAUAGACACAUGGAACCUCACACGGUAGUUGUUUAAUAUGUAUUUAUGGAAUAAAUGAGUGUAGAGCCGUAAACUUUUUUUUAUAUGAACAGAGACAACUUCUUUUAAUCUUCCUUCCAUCCAGGGCAGCAACCUGGAACCCUUGAAAUAGCCAUGAUUGCCUAAACUGUCGUAGCUUCUAUGGACAGCUGUGACUGCAAAAAGAGAUGUCUUGAACUAUGAAGGACAUUUCACCCCCUGGCCUUUAGCACAGAACCUAUGUGACUGGGUGUUUGUGGCCAGAGGACACAGCCUGCCAUGUCUGAGAUUAUCUUCCUGUCAAACUGCCUGGCUUGGAGGGUGGGUCUGCCUGAAGAUAUAGACCAUUUCUUCUGCUGCCUUAUAUUGCCGGUUACAUUAAAUAUAGUAGAUGACACGAGUUUAUUAAUACUGUAGGAUAGUCAACAUCCUUGCCAGCAUAUACCAUGGCCCCCAUGCAGAAAAAGGUUGAACAGAAAGGCGGUAAGAAGGAUAUGAUUAUGGUGGAAGUUAAGAAGGAGAUCAUCGAGAAGUACAAACGAGACAAAGAGAAAAGACACCAAGCAAAUGAUGUGUGGGACCCUAGCUUGUCUUACUCCAAAAAGAGGCUUUCAAGGCUGAGAGAAGAAGGAAGAAAAGAUAUAGUUCUGGAAGUGGUUGCAGACUGGUGACUUGUGCGGCCAAUGUAGGCUAUAGACUGGAUUAACAAGCACAAAGUUUGUUUGUUUGUUUGUUUUUGUUUUUGCUUUUUUAUUAAAAUCUGGAUGUCUUCACUCAGAGUUCUAUAGAAGUUGUGGGCACAGGCUCUGUAACUAGACUCUUUAGAUUUAAAUCCUAGGCUUGUGUCUCAAUUUUUUAAUAUAUAAAAAAGGGGUCAAUAAUUAUAUAUCAUCCAGUUUUAAUAAAGAUUAAAUCAGUUUAUACA
rnacentral:lncRNA from 1 species